UACGUAGGGUGCAGGCGUUACUCGGAAUUACUGGGCGUAAAGCGUGCGCAGGCGGUUUGCUAAGACAGGUGUGAAAUCCCCGGGCUUAACCUGGGAACUGCGCUUGUAACUGGCAAGCUGGAGUGUGGCAGAGGGGGGUGGAAUUCCACGUGUAGCAGUGAAAUGCGUAGAGAUGUGGAGGAACACCGAUGGCGAAGGCAGCCCCCUGGGCUAACACUGACGCUCAUGCACGAAAGCGUGGGGAGCAAACAGG
rnacentral:rRNA from 1 species